CGGUUUAAUCGGACUCAACGCCCGGAAAAUCUCACCGGAUAAGACAGCUGGAUGAUAGCCGGGCUGAAGACUCUGCUUGACUAGCUGAGAGGAGGUGCAUGGCCGUCGUCAGUUCGUACUGUGAAGCGUCCUGUUAAGUCAGGCAACGAGCGAGACCCACGCCAACAGUUGCCAGCAUGUCCUCCGGGAUGAUGGGGACACUGUUGGGACCGCCUCUGCUAAAGAGGAGGAAGGAAUGGGCAACGGUAGGUCAGCAUGCCCCGAAUUAUCCGGGCUACACGCGGGCUACAAUGGUCAGGACAAUGGGUAUCAACACCGAAAGGUGAAGGCAAUCUCCUAAACCUGUCCUUAGUUCGGAUUGUGGGCUGCAACUCGCCCACAUGAAGCUGGAAUCUGUAGUAAUCGCGUCUCAACAUGGCGCGGUGAACAUGUCCCUGCUCCUU
rnacentral:rRNA from 1 species